rnacentral:rRNA from 1 species
CUGCUGCCUCCCGUAGGAGUCUGGUCCGUGUCUCAGUACCAGUGUGGGGGACCUUCCUCUCAGAACCCCUACGCAUCGUCGCCUUGGUGGGCCGUUACCCCGCCAACUAGCUAAUGCGACGCAUGACCAUCCGUAGCCGGAAUCGCUUCCUUUAAACCCCGAGGAGAUGCCUCCUCGGGUUGUUACGCGGUAUUAGACGGAAUUUCUUCCCGCUUAUCCCCCUGCUACGGGCAGGUUUCAUACGUGUUACUCACCCGUGCGCCGGUCGCCGGCGGGAGUA